AACCCAUGGUGAAGGCACCUUCUCAAUAAAUCCUUGUAUCUCUCCCAUGCAUCAUAAAGUGUUUCUAAAUCCAUCUGCACAAAAGAAGAGAUAUCAUUCCUCAAUUU
rfam:Gossypium arboreum cultivar AKA8401 contig_2497_5, whole genome shotgun sequence.